GACGAACGCUGGCGGCGUGCCUAGUACAUGCAAGUCGAGCGCUGAAGGUUGGUACUUGUACCAACUGGAUGAGCAGCGCACGGGUGAGUAACGCGUGUGGCAUCUGCCUUUGAGCGGGGGACAACCUGUGGAAACGAAUGCUAAUACCGCAUAAAAACUUUAAACACAAGUUUUAAGUUUGAAAUUUGCAAUUGCAUCACUCAAAGAUGAUCCCGCGUUGUAUUAGCUAGUUGGUGAGGUAAAGACUCACCAAGGCGAUGAUACAUAGCAGACCUGAUAGGGUGGUCGGCCGCCUUGGGACUGAGACACGGCCCAAUCUCCUUGGGGAGCGAGCAGUAGGGCAUCUUCAGCCAUGGGCGAGAGUCUGACCGAGCAACGCCGCGUGAGUGUAGAACGUUGUCGGGUCGUGAAACUCUGUUGGUAGGGUAGAACGUUGGUUAGAGUGGAAAGCUCAUCAAGUGACGGUAACUACCCAGAAAGGAACGGCUAACUACGUG
rnacentral:rRNA from 1 species